UGUUACAUUUGUAUUGAAUGUUUGUGAUGAAUAUUGUACAUGAUAACUUGUAUUAUAAACAAUAAAAUGCUAGCAAAAAAUGGAUUGUAAUAUAGGUGGGGUAUUGUAGUAUUUUGUAAUAAUGUAAACAACGGCAAAAUGUUAAGUAUUAUAAUUUUGUAAAUAAGUUAACACAUUAUCAAAUAUUUUCAAUACGUAAAUCGAUCAUUUUUCACGAAUAAAUUGGGGAUAAUUUCAAUUAUCCCAUAAGUACAUUCUCGGCUCCCAAAAACAACACUGAAAUCUUUAUAAUGAAGAAUUAUUUAAUUUUCAAAUAUAAUAAGUUUCAUAAUAUUGCAGUUUCAUUAUUAACCUAAGUUGUAUACCUACGUAACUACAUUCAAAUCCGGAGGACCAGCCGUGAACACUCUAUCAUGCAUCAUUCAGACCAUGAUCACGCUGAGGUUAAUUUGUAAAUUGCAUUUAGAAGGAGCAAAGGCCUCAGACGGUUUAGAUUUACAACUGACGCCGAAAGGUGGCGUUGCGGUCAAGUUGUUUCUCAAAUGGUUGGGACGAAUUUGAUGAAAUCCUGUGAGGCCCGGAUGGUUUCGAUUUAUAAUCGAGCCCGAAGGGUGGCGUUGCAGUCGAGUUUUAAGAUUGUAUCUCAAAAGCCUGUGACAAUUUUCAUGAAAAAACGUGUGUGGGUUUAGCUAGGGUCCAAGAUGGCUUAGAUUCUAAACUGGUUCGGAAGGUGGCGUUACAGUCAAGUACUAAUGGGAUUGUUUUUUAAUGGCCCUGUUGGCUAUUUAUUUGUAUUACUUUUUGUUAUUAUUUUCAUCCCUAGUUGAAUGUUAUUUAGUUAACAGACUGUUGUCAAAUAGUUUUGAACAUCUCAGGUAUGUUCAA